AUUGAACGCUGGCGGCAGGCCUAACACAUGCAAGUCGAACGGUAACAGGAAGCAGCUUGCUGCUUCGCUGACGAGUGGCGGACGGGUGAGUAAUGUCUGGGAAACUGCCUGAUGGAGGGGGAUAACUACUGGAAACGGUAGCUAAUACCGCAUAACGUCGCAAGACCAAAGAGGGGGACCUUCGGGCCUCUUGCCAUCGGAUGUGCCCAGAUGGGAUUAGCUUGUUGGUGGGUAACGGCUCACCAAGGCGACGAUCCCUAGCUGGUCUGAGAGGAUGACCAGCCACACUGGAACUGAGACACGGUCCAG
rnacentral:rRNA from 1 species